CUGGGGUCAGAAGUCAGAAGAUUGUUUCAAGGUUCCUGAAUAAACUGCUUAGAGAAGAGCCUGGUGUUGCAUCUUCCUUGCUGUUCGAGGUGGCGCAUACGGGACCGUUUACCUCCCCUGUCUCUUGAAGGCUCAGAACUCUUCACGGUCAGGACAGUGCACUGAUCUUAGAUUCUUGAUUCUACCGAUAUUCAUCAUCUAGAACCAUAUGUAUGGAGCUUGGGAGAGGUGAUAGCUUGGUCUCAGAGACAGGUCUGAAUAAUAUCAAGACAGACCAUCCAGGGGGAAGAUGUAAGCUGAAAGGAGAAGACAGAAGGGAACCAGCUAAAGAUUCCUGCUGUCAGUGGCCAGAGGUUAAACAGAAGUUGCUCAUAUGUAAUAAAUGGUUCAGGAGACAUAGCAGAAGAUGAUGUGGGGAUCUUGUAAGAGUCAGAAGACCAGGAGAGCUGCUGUGAGAAUGUGUCUCCAAGAAAUGAAAGAGAAGCUUCACUCAUGAUACCUAAACAAUAUGGCUGCUAAAACAAGACCUGAACAAGGAUACUACCAAUAGACAUGGUAGCAUGGAAGAGGGAAAAUCUCACAGGGCCCCACCCCUGGACAAAGAACGACAGUUCACAUAUGCUUACUGAUGCCAGGAGAAGAUGAAGGAGAGCUUUUCUUCCAGUAGGAAGGACUUGGCAGUGGAACCUCACAGACUGCAGUAUCCACAGACUGCAAACUCUACCAUUCUUACACUCAGAGUGGUCCACAUGUUCUGAGUGCAUCCUAGACCUUUUAUGCAUGAUGAAUACAGAACAAUUUGAUUGUAUUUAUUCUCCACAAUAAAGAAUGAGGUGGACUCAU